GGCAUAGCCUCUUCUCCUCCUAUCAAGUGUUAAUGGUUCAAUAUUUGACUAUUAACAAUUGGAUAUCAAAGGUUUAUCCUUUUUUCGUUGUUCGUUCUAUCGAGAGUCUGUUAUAAACAGUCAAUCUCAAAGGUAGAGAUAAGACAUGUGUAGACACGCUAUCCUUUUCAUAUCUUACUUGUAAGAUUAUGCUGAAUUAAUUGUUGUUAUUGUUAUUUGGAUAUCGAAGAAUAAUUUUGGCACAAAAUGGAUAUGGAGGUUGAUAUGGUAGAUUCUUUCAUAAGGAACAACCAAGAAAGCUUUGAGUACAAUCUGCAAAGCCUUGAAAACAAUAUGAAGGUAUUAAAUGGCAUAUCAUUAGAAAUUGAGGUACAAGUGAAAGAAGCAGAAAAAAGGAAAAGAAAAAGAAAAAGAGAAGUUGAAAAUUGGUGUGAA